rnacentral:lncRNA from 1 species
CUUCUGCAGCUCUAGUGCUAGGAUUAAAGGUGUGCACUACCACACCUGGUACAAGAAUUGCUUUUUACGGUUUGUCAGCAGACUUCAUUCCCCUUCUGUUUCAUUGUCUUCAAAGGAAGAAAAUGGUGGCAAUCCUUAACUAACUCUUACAAUCUGAAGACCUGGGCUCAAGACACUGGCACGGUGUACUCAUUCAUUAUCGUUAAACGAACAUUAUAACAUUUUAAUUAUUACAUUUAUUUUGUGUAUGUAUGGAGUCAAGUCCCGGCGAGCGCUCAAACACCAGCGCUGUAUAUUUAUAAUCACUAAGCAAACAUUGUGUGGAUGUGAGAAGGUCAUAUGAAGCGUGGCAUGAGGCUAGGUGGAGAGACGCUCUGCUAACACCGACCUGAGAGGCAGUGGGGCAGCCUGGGCUGAACAUUUUCUGCCGAUGGCUCUUCCCAGCUCCUCUCAAGCUCCCAUGUCCUGCCAUCCUUACCAUCCCUGACUCAGGACCUGGAGUGGACUUCCUCUAAGGUUUCUUUUCAACCCUGGGAUGCUGCACAGCGUCUGGAAGUGAUUCAUACAAGCUUGAUGAACAUUCAAAUGGAUUGGGCUGCACCAACUUCCCACAUUCCUUCCCACUCUCUGAGUCAGAAGACAACUUUCCACAGAAAGUUCCCGCAGGACCCAGGCUGUCCAGCGUGACUCAUUGUGGUCACCCUGUGACCUACUUUCCACUGUGAGCUUUGGCACAGUGGAUUCCCAUGACACUCCUCUGUCACCACCGCCACCUCCUCUGGAGAAUGGAGGCUCAGUGAAACAAGCUUAAGGCUGACUAAUGCUGGCAGGAAGCUGUUCCCAGGCAGAUGCAGACACGAAAUAGAAGACAUGCAUUGCACACCGCAGACCCACCAGCACCCACAGAUCGGAAAAACCCUCAGUCCUUUUAGCCUGAGCAGUGACAAAUGUCAUCUGGAGCUCCAUCCAGGCCUAAACACCAGAUUUCUGUGGCUGAGACUCCUGGCUUUCUGUGGAGACCAAAGGCUCUGUGGGAUGUGCCUGGGCUCUAGUUCAGCAUCCAUACUUGGGGCUUUGAGCAUUGAGUAACCAAGUUGUGCUCAUACUAGAGGCCAGACUUACCUCUUUGGAAGCCCUGAGUUGUCACCCAAAUACACCAUGUCCUUAGACCUCAUUGAAGUACUGGAGUGUUUAUAAGGCUGCAGGCAUGGAAGAGACCACGUGGUACCCAGGAGACAUGGUGAGGCCCCCAACCAUGUGCUCAUCUGUGCAGCGUGGUGCAGGACCAACCUUACCACAGGGCCUUCAAUGUCUUUCCUAGCAUUGUUUGCUGGACACUGUCACUACCCCUUGAGUAUAAGGUUGAGCUCAGUCUGCGCUGAGAUGGCACGCACAGACUCCAGCUUCCUUCUUUGCUGCAGAUGGACACUGUUCCUGUGCCUUGCAGAGAAACAUCUGGACAGUUUUUUCAGCGGGGCUCCUUUUAAAAAUUGUGUUUAAAAUUAUUUUUAAACUUCCACAGAGUCAGUAAAUACAUCAAGCUGUGUGAUUCCCACCAUAGCAGCCAGACACACAAAGGCUUUCUUAAUCACAAGAGUCUCUCAUACUGUCCCACUAUGGUUAGGCACUCAGCCCCAGGAAACCCAAAUCCAAAACUGGCCCCUUCCCCAUGGCCGCAUCCUUCUAAGUAUAAUACCCUGGCUUUUGUACUUAGACAGGUGCUCUGUCCGGUUGCCAUGGCAACCACAGCUCACUCUCCUUCACUGUUCUAUACUUUUAUAGCACAUGCUAUGCAGAGUCAAUGCUGGUCCCUUCUGUGGUGAGUGAUGGCGGUCAUGCCACAUAAGAACUCACGUAUACAGAUUUGUUCCCAUCCCUCAAGGGUCAAAACCUAGGAGUGGAAUGGCCAGGUCAUCUGGCAGGCACAUGCUCAACUUUAUAUCAAACAGGCCGAAAUAAUUUUCCACUGGGGUCAUUCAAUAUUCUGCAUCUUGUCAGCACUUGGAUGUUAGUUACUUGUCUUGUUGCUGUGUAAAUAAAAAUGCCAUGACAAAACA